rnacentral:lncRNA from 1 species
UGGAAAGGAUUAGCCAUAAGAAAGUUCUUCAUCAGGAAUACAAUCUUAGGCCAUUUGGACAAGGGAUACUACUUUGAUACUUCUUUUUUCCGUUUACCUUUAUGACCCCAAACAGGGUUUUUUGAGGAUAUCACAGCUUUACUGACAAAUUUAUGAACCAGCAUUGGGUCAUUUUCGUGUGAUGACUACUGUCUUGUUGAAUUACGAUCGCAACUGAGCAUCUGAUAUUUCAAGAAAACCUAAAAAGCAAGGACAUAUAUCAACUCUGAUUAUAAAUAUUAAUGCAUAAUGCAGAUGGUUUUAGAUGUCAAAAUUCAUUCUCAGCAAACUUCAACAAACCCUAAGAUGAUCUUGAAUUCUUUGAAUGAAAUAGGGCCACAUGCUUUUAUAUUGGUGAUGAUAGUCUUAUGUAUUAGUAUUUCUGAAAUGCAAGGUAUUGUCAGACUAUUCAUGGCUAACAUUUUUAUAGUAAUAUAUUAUACAAAUAUGACACAUUGGUGUUAAUGACAAUCUCCUGAAUUCUAUUGCAAAGGAUACCCGUAGAGCAUAAAUGCAAGUGGCUUUAGCAUGCUUGAUACAGCAAGUGGCUUCAUCAUUGCUUGAAAGAUAUUAUUCUUCUGUUGAUAAUUGCUGUUGCAACAUGUGGUCCUAGAAUUGACAUUAUUUGGUGAACUGGGUCAUGUCUGGGUUAUUUUAAACUGGGUGUGAGUUGAGUAUGUCAUUGUUCGUUAUUGAUCUACCUAGUUAAGUAGGUUAACUACCAACUUAACCAAGCUGGUAAAAAUUUGAGUCAUGAUGAAGUCUUUGUCAGCAAAGCUCAGGCAGAACAAAUAGCCUAGCUCUUGUUUUUAUUCCUAUUGUUCCUUUAUUUAUUUAUUUAUUUUCUUGUAGGAAAAGGAGGGAAGGGGGGGGGGGGGGGAGGUGCUGAGGAGGUUGAUAGGAUUUUCUGCCAGAUGAAGUGGUAGAAAUGCCUAGGAAGCAGUCAUCUCUGAUCAAAUCAUAUAAUUGAUUUCUUUUAUUCGUAUAAAAAUGGGGGUGGGAGUUGAGGGGUAGAUGAGAGCAAUUGUGGUUUAAGAAUAUAAAUAUACACACAUACACGUAUAUAUAUUUAUAUAUAUGGAAUACAUGGAAAGCUUGAAACACGUGGCAGACAUAUGUUUGUCCUUUCUUGUGAACUAGGUAAUUAUUAGUAUGCAAUAUGCACUGUUUUUGUGCUGUGGAAAAAGACACAACAAACUUUGCAAUUAAGACACAAACAUGACUGUUGUUACUUGCAAUAGCUUGAUUUCUUUUGGCUUUCUUUUCAUCACAUUCAAAUGGAUUAUUCCAUUCAAAUGUCCAUCUUGGAAUUUGAAGGGAAAAAUGAUCGUGAUCACUAAUUAAGCCAGUUAAUCCCUAUAAUCUUAGGGUAACAGGUUGAGAAUGCUGGUUUGCAUUAAUUUUUCAAAUCUUUCAAUCCAGACAACUCUCUUAGUUUUAACUGCCUACUUUUGACUGUUUAUAGCCAUUCUCGACUAUAAUCUCUUCUAAAUCAAACAUUUGUUCAUCUUUUUUUAAGAAGCCUGGUUUUUGCUUCUUGGAAACAGUUCAAUAAUAGACCCAAAAAGAAAUAUCUGGCAUGACAAUAACUAGUCAGUCUUGACCUGACAACUAAUGUCACGUUGUUCUUUCUGUGCAUGUUUGGCCCAUUGUUCGGAUUUCUUUACCUAAAUAUAUGCAAUGUUUAGUAUUGAAGGUUGCCACUUCUACCUCUAGCUGUAUAAGGCUCUACCCUAUAGAAGAUUCAAGUUUUAAUAUCAAUAUUUUAAAUUUGUGUAGCUUAUUAAUUUCUUAAUUUUUUUUUUUUGCUCAAACAAAUAAUUUCUAAUGUUGAUAACAGGUAUUUAACAAUUUCUUGCACAAAGAGUAUGGAGGACCCGGGACACUGUUGGUGGAACCUUUCACAGAUAUGUUUGUUGCUCUAAAGGAGAAGAAAUUACCUGGAGCACCUGUGGCUGCACGGGCAUCCUUGUUAUGGGCCCAAAAUUAUGUCGAUGAUGAUUGGGAGGUUUGGAACUCAAACUCACCCUAGUGAUUU